rnacentral:misc_RNA from 1 species
GAAAUGCGAUAAGUAAUGUGAAUUGCAGAAUUCAGUGAAUCAUCGAAUCUUUGAACGCACAUUGCGCCCUCUGGUAUUCCGGGGGGCAUGCCUGUUCGAGCGUCAUUACACCACUCAAGCUCAGCUUGGUAUUGAGGGCCGCCCCGGUGGGGCGCCCCCGAAAAACAGCGGCGGUGCGGCCGGAUCUUCCAGCGCAGUGACUUAUAAUCUCGUUGCGAGGAUCCGAUCGUCCCGGCCGGACAACCCCCAAUUUUUUCUAUGGUUGACCUCGGAUCAGGUAGGGAUACCCGCUGAACUUAA